rnacentral:rRNA from 1 species
UACGAAGGGGGCUAGCGUUGCUCGGAAUUACUGGGCGUAAAGCGCACGUAGGCGGAUUGUUAAGUCGGGGGUGAAAUCCUGGAGCUCAACUCCAGAACUGCCUUCGAUACUGGCGAUCUCGAGUUCGGGAGAGGUGAGUGGAACUGCGAGUGUAGAGGUGAAAUUCGUAGAUAUUCGCAUGAACACCAGUGGCGAAGGCGGCUCACUGGCCCGAUACUGACGCUGAGGCGCGAAAGCCAGGGGAGCAAACGGG